rnacentral:rRNA from 1 species
GGUCCCAGUUCGGACUGCAGGCUGCAACCCGCCUGCACGAAGCCGGAGUUGCUAGUAAUCGCGAAUCAGAAUGUCGCGGUGAAUGCGUUCCCGGGUCUUGUACACACCGCCCGUCACACCAUGGGAGUCAGCAACACCCGAAGCCUGUGAGCUAACGCAAGAGGCAGCAGUCGAAGGUGGGGUUGGUGAUUGGGGUGAAGUCGUAACAAGGUAAC